rnacentral:misc_RNA from 1 species
UAGUACCAAGACAGGAGUGUGGA